rnacentral:lncRNA from 1 species
UUAUUAUCACAAACGUUUAUUGAGUGCCCAUAGAACUCACUGCACCUUUAUGGUGUUUACAGAGCUUUGCUUAUAUGCUGACCUUGCCCUUCAAGGAGCUUACAAUCUAGUGGAGAGAAAGACGGAGAAACGCAGUGUGGUAGUGCAAUGAGUGAACAGACAUUAGAGACGGAAAAAUAUUCCAUAAAUGUAAAAGAUAUCCUGCAAAACAAGGUUUAUGGGGAUGGCAUAGUCUUAGAUAUAUUCCUUAUUUCUUGGGAGAUAUCUAGAAUAUUCAAGGGACUUAUGAAGUUGAGAAAAACCAGGACGAAAACAAGACACUUUCUGCUACCUCUUUCUUGGCUCCCUGCAGCUGGGAGAAUGAAGAUGGGACAGUUAAUGGGGAAACAAACUUUGCAGUACUUUUUGCAUGUCUGGAUGGACUGACUAGGACAAAGCUACUAUUUAGGUAACCUGCUGUGGAUAAUCCUAAACUAGUUCAAAGGGGGAAAAGAUAAGUUUCUUUGCACCAUUCUGAGUACACCUAUAAAGCUUAAACUAAAAUGUUAAGAUAACCUAAACCAUCCAUUAUGUUAAAGAUAACUGGUCUGGAUACAAUAGAGACAUGGGAGAAUUCCUAGUUACACAGGCAGUGCACCUUGAACACCCCACUGGGGGGUGUUACAUUUGUGCAGAAUACACCUUUUAUGGAGGCAGCACACUGGCAGAUCCAAAAGGAAAUGACUAGACAGAAAACACCCAGCAUAGGUAGUUUUCUUUUCUUUUGUUGAGACGAGGUCUCACUGCGUAGUCCAGGCUGGCCUUAAAUUCACUGUGUAGCCCAGGCUGGCCUCAAACUCAUGCCUCCUGCCUCAGCCUCCCAAGUGCUGGGAUUACACACAUGUGCCAACAUGCCCAGAUAUAGGUAAGUUUUAUGUUGAGGCGAAUGGGUGGCCAAUCCUUAAGGAAGAAGAUGUUGAUACUGUGGGAGAGUAUUUUGAUUCCACCCCCAAUUAUGAGUUAAAAUGUUUAAGAGAACUCCCUCUUUAGCCAAGUCUAAGAGCUGGGUUGUAUUAUUGUUCCUAAAGAGUAAAAAGGAGGGCUGGGGAUGUAGCUCAGUGGUAGAAUGAGUCCUUAGUAUGCAAAAAGCCAGUAAUAUUUUAAUUAUUUUGUUUUCUAAACUCCUGGCUUAUCCACUACCCCAAUGUGGGUUCUCAAAUAUCAUCAAAUGUAGAAAUGAAUAAGCUUUCUGCCUUUACUUGCAGCAAACCUUAAAGGGCAAUUCCCCUUAGACAAUACACACCUUGUACCUAGGGUUAUUCUGUGUGUACACACACAUACACAGAGGCAACUAUGUAAAAAGGAUGUGCCAAGGGUGGCUCACAGGUUCAAAACUUAAAAGCACAAUGGAGAGGACAGGACACUGAGGGCAUUAUCUGGAAGGAAACGAGAUCAAGUGGAGCACAAAAGCAUGUAAGAUUAUUGGAGUGUCCCCCGACCCCUGCACUGGGGAUUGAACCCAGUGCCUUCACUCUGAGCUACAUCCCUAGCCCUUUGAGGCAGGGUCUUGCUAAGUCACCCAGACUGGGCUUGAACUUGUGAUUCUCCUGGAGUGCUGAGAUUCCAUACCAAUGGUGAUUACUUGCUUUAAAAACAGGUUGGAGGAAAUCGGGUAAAAUUAGAGAGUAACUAUAGUCAAGGAUAAUCAGUCAGCUAUUGCUAUGGUCUGAUUUGGGUUCAGUGCUACCCAGUACUUCAUGUGUUGUAAUUUCUCUGAGGUAUUAAGAGGGUGGAAACUUAAUCUGACUAUAGUGUUUGCUGGGGCAGUGAUAUGAGAAUGCUUAGGGUUUAACAGAUAAGGUCACUAGAAUUGAGCGCUUAUGACUAAAUUCCUGUCUCUCUGUAAGAGGGAGAGACUAGAUGGACACACACACACACACACACACAACUUACACACUUCCUGUCUUUUGCCAUGUGAUGCUCCAUCACCAGAUGUGGCACCUUGACCUUGGGCCAGAACUCUUGAACCAAAAUAAACUUCUUUUAAAACUUAUCCAGUCUGAGGUAUUCAAUUAUCAACAGCAGCAACACCAACAACAAAACAGAGUAACACAGUUGCACACAUCAGAAGUAAAAUAUGGUCAAGGAAAAGCAGGAUUCAUGUCUGGAGAGUAAAAGAAAGAUAUAAGUGGAUGAGAUAAUAAAAUAUCUUUACAAAGAAUAAAAUUGGAAGAACUGUUUGGAAAAGUUAAGUACUUGGAGUAAGCACCAUAGAUACAAGACAUAACAUCUGUGGAGAAGGCAGAAAUUGGGGCAAAAAGAAUGUAAGUGAUAAAGGAAUUCUGCAGUCCUAUGGCAGGAGGUAGGUCAGAAAGACCCUGUAGCAACAUUUACUUUUCCUCACACUUAGCUGCUCUUACACAGUGGUAGUUUUCAAAUUUUUACAUCUUUCUUAAGUUGCACUAUGGAGCCAGACGUGGUAGCACGUCUGUAGUCCCAGCUCCUUGGGAGGCUGAGGUAGACACUUGAGGUAGUUGGAGGCCAGCUUGGGCAACACAGACACCUUCUCCCCCUCAAAAGCCCUAUAGCUAUCAAUGUGUAUCUUAGUUUGACUUAGACAUUUAUACAGCAACUUUUUAAUAAUUUCAAAAUUUUAUUAUUUUUUGAGACAGGGCCUCAUUAUGCAGUCCAGGCUGGCUUCAACUCAAAAUCUUCCAAUCUCAGCGGGAUUACAGAUGUGUGCUCCAUGCACAAUCUUACUACUGUAUUUUUAAAACUUUUUUUUGGUGGUGCUUAUGAUCGAACUGAAGGUCUCAUGCAUGCUAGACAAGUACUCUGAGUUAUGUUCCCAUCCUUAAAAAAAGUUUACUAAUGUAUUUAAAUUUAUUUUUUUCUUUAAAUGUUCAAAAUGUCAGGCACAGAUUUUGUUAGUAUUUUAAUACUGUAUCAGGUAUCUCGGUAAAAACUCCUCCCCUCCAUCCUGUUAAACUACUGGCUUCCACUUAAUGAAUUCGGCCCACAUGAGUAAGUAGUCAAGAAGUAAAACAGGUAUAAGAAUACUUGUAUCUAGGCCUUCAAAAUAAUCAACGGUAAUUCUAGUUCAAAUUAAGUAACUAAACUCAGGUAACUGCCUUUGACUAAAGGUAAAUAAGCCUGUUUAUAUUCAAGAUAGGAAAAGCUGCAUAAACCAUUUUGUGCACUGGUUCACAAAUUUAAAUAAAUUUCAGUUAGUUUUAGAACAGUAACUGGAAGCACUGCAUGGUAUAGAAAUAGAGCUCUUACCUGGCCCUUAAUAGCUGUGUGACCUUGGGCAAAUCACCUUGACCACUCAAUCAUUUGAAAAGGAGGGAUGGGACAGAUCAUUUAUACUCAAUCUAUAGACUGCCACAAAUCCCUUAAUAAAAUUUUAUGGAAACUGUGUAUACACAUUCCACCCCCUGCCUCCCCUACUGGGGAUCACUCAGGACCUUGCACUUACCAGGCAGGCACGGUGCCACUGAGCUACAUCCCCGGCCCUUGUACAUGCACUUUUGGAGGGGAAGCUGGUCCAGUUUUCAUUAGGUUCUCACAGGUGACCUUGAUCCAAAAAUGAGCUUGCACUAUGAGGAAAUCACUUCUAAACUGCUCCAGUUCUACUUACGUUCCCUCACGUCAGAAUACUAGCAGUUCCCGAGUCCCUAGUAUAUAUACCCUGUAUAGCACCCUUCCUUGAAUGUGCACAAGAUCUGUGAAUAUAAUGAAUAUAACUGGGGCCGGGGAUUUAGCUCAGUGGUUUUGCCACCCGCUGCGCAAGCACAAGGACC